rnacentral:tRNA from 1 species
GGGCCGUUAGCUCAGUCUGGUAGAGCGAAAGACUCUUAAUCUUUAGGUCACGGGUUCGAAUCCCGCACGGCUCA